rfam:Trichobilharzia regenti genome assembly, scaffold: TRE_scaffold0000372
GUACUGUUGAAGAGUGCCAAACAAGGGCGAAACAACUGUCCAGUAC